UACGAAGGGUGCAAACGUUGCUCGGAAUUAUUGGGCGUAAAGCGCACGUAGGCGGCUUAGCAAGUCGGAAGUGAAAGCCCUCGGCUCAACCAAGGAAGUGCUUUCGAAACUGCUGAGCUUGAGUAGUUAAGAGGAUCGCGGAAUUCCCGGUGUAGAGGUGAAAUUCGUAGAUAUCGGGAGGAACACCAAUGGCGAAGGCAGCUCUCUGGGACGGUACUGACGCUGAGACGCGAAAGCGUGGGGAGCGAACAGG
rnacentral:rRNA from 1 species